rnacentral:misc_RNA from 1 species
GUUUUUGGAAUAAACCGUAAUGUUUGGGCCAACUUUUGCACACCUCGACUAAUUCUGCAGGGUAUCUGCUACAACGUUCUACCAGCGAGGAGAGACCUUCAUACUACUGUGAAAUCUUUAACAGCAAGAGGUUCAUACCAUUGUGGACCAAAUCCAGCAGCUUUUCUUGCUUGCUCAUUAAAAGGAGGUUUCAAUGGCCCUCUGAAAUAU